GGUGGCCCCGAGGAGACAAGCGUGGCCGCAUUAGCUCUUUCUGCCUCCCACGCAGCCUUAUUUUUUUUAUUGUUGUUUUCUUGUUGCUGUUGUUGUUGUUCUCGGAGACGGAGUCUUGCUCUUGCUCUGUCGUCGCCCACGAUAGAGUACAGUGGCGUGAUCUCUGCUCACUGCAACCUCCGCCUCCUGGGUUCAAACAAUUCUGCCUCAGCCUCCGGAGUAGCUGGGAUUACAGGCGCGCGCCACUAUGCCCGGCUAAUUUUUGUGUUUUUAGUAAAGACGGGGUUUCACCAUGUCGGCCAGGCUGUUCUCGAACUCCUGACCUCGUGAUCCCUCCGUCUCGGCUUCCCAAAGUGCUGGGAUUACGGGCGUGAGCCACCGUGCCCGGCCGCAGCCUUGUUUUGACUGAGUCAGUGGGAGCCAUUACUGUUCCUAAAUGUAAACUGGCGUGACAGGAGUUCCGGGAUUGUCCACAGCACGGUGAUGUGGAAGCCCUGGGGAGAGAAUGAUAAAGAAAGGGGAUGAGGAACAGCUCCACCCGGAAGAGCGGGCUUCCCUAGCAAAUGAAUCUGGAAGGGCGCAGGGGAGGGGGCACGGCGAGUUCAGAUGGACCGAGGCUGGAAGCUGACGCGGUUGGAGGGGGAUGGGUGUAGCUGUUGGCAGUGGCGCUGGGGUGGAAGUGUGUGGGGUCACAGAUGUGUAAGGGUGGGCGCGGAGCAGACCCCCGAAGGUCCCUGAGGUCAGGCUGAGGCAUUGGACCAAAUCCGUACAUAGGCAUUUCUCUGAACUGCGCGCCACCUUUUGAGUGCCAUCUGUUUCCGUCCAGGACUCUGAUACAACUAUCCAGUCCGCUGCAGGGACCGGUCACUGUGUCACACAUUCUGUACACAGAUACAGCGAUAAAAUGAAAUGACUGGAACUUAAAUGUGAAAACUCUUUACAAGGAUGGUGGCAGCUCACAGCCUCAGGAGAAGUGUUUUGAGUGCCUGUUCCUCUAGGUCCUCGCCCGCCCAGGACAUCACCACUCUUGUUAAUUUCAUUGUGUCUAGGUAGUGAAAAAGUGUAGUUUCUCAUUCUUUCAAAUUGCAUUUCCCAAUUAUUAGAGUUUGAAUCUUUUUGUCUGUUUACUGAUG
rnacentral:lncRNA from 1 species